GACGAACGCUGGCGGCGUGCUUAACACAUGCAAGUCGAACGGAAAGGCCCCCACCUUGGUGGGGGUGCUCGAGUGGCGAACGGGUGAGUAACACGUGGGUGAUCUGCCCUGUAUUUCGGGAUAAGCUUGGGAAACUGGGUCUAAUACCGGAUAGGACCAGGGUUUAGUUUCUCAUGGUGGAAAAAUUAUUGUUUUGGUGCAGGAUGAGCUCGCGGCCUAUCAGCUUGUUGGUGGGGUAAUGGCCUACCAGGGCGUCGACGGGUAGCCGGCCUGAGAGGGUGGACGGCCACAUUGGGACUGAGAUACGGCCCAGACUCCUACGGGAGGCAGCAGUGGGGAAUAUUGCACAAUGGGCGCAAGCCUGAUGCAGCGACGCCGCGUGGGGGAUGACGGCCUUCGGGUUGUAAACUCCUUUCGUUAGGGACGAAGCCACACCUUUUUUGGGUGUGGUGACGGUACCUUUGUUAAGAAGCACCGGCUAACUACGUG
rnacentral:rRNA from 1 species